GCAAUGUAUCAUUGUAAUUAUGAAAUGAAAUAAUGAUAAUAAAAGUAUUUUUUAUAUCUCAGAACUUGUGACACCUAUUUGAAAAGCUCCAUUAAGGUAAGGUCAGCUGCUUUAUCCUGAAUGGGGAAGCGGACGGGGGGAGGGUCGGGCAGAGCUCUGUCCAUCAUUUCUGCUGGGCUAUCCCUGGAUCCUGGAGCUGCAGCUGGGAACGAAACUGGUGUGACCAAACCUAACCAGUCUGAUGGCCACGUAGCAGCCCUGAACUCAUCCAUCCAGUUGUGUUCGGAAUCACAAAACAAAAGGAGCACAUGUCCUUGCGGAGGAAGAGACUAUUGAGGGUGACAGCUCCAAUCAGAAAGAAAAGCUGCUUCACUG